rnacentral:rRNA from 1 species
GAUGAACGCUGGCGGCGUGCCUAAUACAUGCAAGUCGAGCGAACAGACGAGGAGCUUGCUCCUCUGACGUUAGCGGCGGACGGGUGAGUAACACGUGGAUAACCUACCUAUAAGACUGGGAUAACUUCGGGAAACCGGAGCUAAUACCGGAUAAUAUAUUGAACCGCAUGGUUCAAUAGUGAAAGACGCUUUUGCUGUCACUUAUAGAUCGACCCGUGCCGCAUUAGCUAGUUGGUAAGGUAACGGGUUACCAAGGCGGCUAUGGGUAGACGACCUGAGCGGGGGGUAGGCGACCUGGGAAGGUGGACGCGGUCCAGACGCCUACGAGACGCAGCAGUAGCGUACCGGAGGCAACAGGCGAGAACAUGACGCAGCAGCGGCACGCGUGUUACGGAGGCCUUCGGUGAGGAAAGACCGGUUAUGAGGGGUAAACAUAUGUGUGCGGAAAAAUACACAUCUUGACGGUACCUACACAGAAAGCACCGGCUAACUACGUG